rnacentral:tRNA from 1 species
UCCCAAUUAGUCCAGAGGCUAGGAUAUUCCGCUUUCACUUCUUCGGAUCUGAAGCACCGGAAAGACCCGGGUUCGAUUCCCGGAUUGGGAA